AGGAUUAUAGUUUAUAAAAAUAUUUGAUUUGCACUCAAAAGAUAUUGACUUCAAUUUAUCUU
rnacentral:tRNA from 1 species